GGAAGGGCGGGCAGGAGGGCAGGGAAGCCGCUCACCCAGGCACAAAGCGCCUCCCGCUUGAGCGGACUCCAAAGGGACGGUCCGCGGUGUGCAGCGAGCUGCGCUCAGGGCACCUUGCGCCCGGCCCUUCCGCUGCACACAGCCCACCCAGGACCUCCCGCAGCGCUGACUAGCGGGGCGGGUGCAAGGACGGGGCGGGGUCUCUGCGCCCGGCCCCCUCCCCUGACUAUCAAAGCAGCGGCCGGCUGUUGGGGUCCACCACGCCUUCCACCUGCCCCACUGCUUCUUCGCUUCUCUCUUGGAAAGUCCAGUCUCUCCUCGGCUUGCAAUGGACCCCAACUGCUCCUGCGCCGCUGGUAAGGAACGCCGGGUUCCGUGCCUGGGGAUGCUCGAUUCCCAGACACCAUAGAGAGUGUUCCUGGGUUUGAGAAGGUCGUAUUUUGAGAUCUCAACUGUAGCGGACUCCUUGACUUAGUCCAGUGCUUUCCUCUUGGCCAAGCUCCUGAGAGCAUUUCCUUCCUCUCUGUGCCUCUGUGUCAGAGUUGAGGGUACUGAGGCUCAAGGCUGUCCUGCUCCACGUCAUGCGGUUUGUCCCAGGGCUGUUGGCUGAGCCCCAGUGCUCUGACCAGGCUUUGAGCAGCAGGAUUAGAUAGGAGGCAGGGACAUUGCCUCUUCGGGGUUCAGGACAGAAAGUCGAAGUCGCCGUCUUCCCAGGCUGUGCCUGGAGCCUGGGACUUUCCUUUGGAGUGCAAACAGGAGGCUGCUUGGCCUUCCCAGCAUGAAGGCAGAGGACAUGGGGCUUCUCUUCCUCUGCUCUGAGUGGGAAAGGAGCUCUGAGGGCUGGCCCCGCACAGAGGAGGGGGCAAUGGAGACUCAUUAACUCACUGCUGUACCUCCUGCAGGUCACUCGCCGCUCACUGGCUUUUUCUCUUUCUCGCAGGUGGCUCCUGUACGUGCGCCGGCUCCUGCAAGUGCAAAGAGUGCAAAUGCACCUCCUGCAAGAAGAGUGAGUGUGAGGCCAUCUCCAUGGUCUGGGGCUGUGGCUAAGGUUGGGAGGGAACCCAAGGCUGGCCCUGAGUGCAUGCUUCUGGGGGAACUGGCCUUCCUUUGUCCCCGUAGGUUGUCACUGCCUUUCUAUCUAGUCUUCUGCCCUGUGCAGGGCGCCUGGGCAGCUUUCUCAUAGGAAGACCCACCCCAGAUAUUUCCCAGUUGUCUCCUGACAAAGCCAUACCCUCCUGAACUGAGGGUCCUUUGGGGCUGGAGGCUCUGUUGGGGGCCUCUGUUGGGGAGGGAGGUCCCUGGGCAAGUUGGCUGUGACCUCUCAUGCUCCUCUUCUUCCCCAGGCUGCUGCUCCUGCUGCCCCGUGGGCUGUAGCAAGUGUGCCCAGGGCUGUGUUUGCAAAGGGGCGUCAGAGAAGUGCAGCUGCUGUGACUGAUGCCAGGACAGCCUUUCUCCCAGAUGUAAACAGAGAGACAUGUACAAACCUGGAUUUUUUUUUUUGAUACCACCUUGACCCAUUUGCUACAUUCCUUUUCCUGUGAAAUAUGUGAGUGAUAAUUAAACACUUUAGACCCGA
rnacentral:sRNA from 1 species